GAGAAGUCCAUAUGCACUACCCUCAGAGAAGGUACACCGCUAUUUUAUUGACCCUAACUAUAUUGUUGAAGAAUCUAAGCAGGUCAAAAAAUGAUGCAACUGCAACCAGCGGAGGGAAAUCAUCAAGGACGGAUGGGCAGACUAUGAAGGAGAAGUUGUAAGGUAAGACAUACAGUUUAAACAGAAUGAUCCUGAGGAGAACGAAGCACCGAGUCAGGUAUGGAAUGAGAAGAUACAUGAAGAGGAGGCACCGCUGGAAGUACCGACUCCGCCACCCAACGAAUCCCAGGACAAUUGAAGGAAACGGAGAGUCCCGUUCGGAGGACUUAAAAACACCGAACGCCUUGCCAAGAGGUAAACUUGGUAGUUAUCUUUUCCCUUUCAAUUAUUUAAAAUAGUUUGCUUAGUUAAUCACGUUCAUUCUAUCCUAAAAAGAAAAUAAAAAUGUUAAAACAAGUAAGCCCCAUGUGAGUAUACGAGUGACAUGAAACCCAUAAGUACAUUCACUGUGGUGGCAUAAAAAUAAAAUAAAUAUUUCUUUUCUGCUUUAUUAAAUAAAAAUAUAAAAACAGGGAGUAAUAUUUAUUGAGGAAGCUAAAUAUGAUAAAGGCUAGAUAUUUAUGCUAACACUUAAUCAGUUCCACAAAGCUUUGUUGUCUAUUUGAGCUCCACGGAAUUUAAGAAUUAAGAAGACUAGCAGACGGAGGAUAUUCUAAUCGCAGUCAGGAUACUGCUGACUUUCAAAUACACCUCUGCCACAUGCUAGCUACAUCAAAAGAAAUUACGUCAAAAUUCAGGU
rnacentral:lncRNA from 1 species